rnacentral:rRNA from 1 species
UACGGAGGGUGCGAGCGUUACCCGGAUUUACUGGGUGUAAAGGGCGUGUAGGCGGUCUCUCAAGUCCGAUGCUAAAGACCGAAGCUCAACUUCGGGGGUGCGUUGGAUACUGUGAGGCUAGACGGUCGGAGAGGGUAGCGGAAUUUCCGGAGUAGCGGUGAAAUGCGCAGAUACCGGAAGGAACGCCGAUAGCGAAAGCAGCUACCUGGACGAUUUGUGACGCUGAGGCGCGAAAGCGUGGGGAGCAAACCGG